rnacentral:rRNA from 1 species
UACGAAGGGGGGCUAGCGUUGCUCGGAAUGACUGGGCGUAAAGGGCGCGUAGGCGGCUCAUACAGUCAGAUGUGAAAUUCCUGGGCUUAACCUGGGGGGCUGCAUUUGGUACGUGUGGGCUUGAGUGGGGGAAGAGGGUCGUGGAAUUCCCAGUGUAGAGGUGAAAUUCGUAGAUAUUGGGAAGAACACCGGUGGCGAAGGCGGCGACCUGGUCCUUGACUGACGCUGAGGCGCGAAAGCGUGGGGGAGCAAACAGG